ACAUGCAGUCGAGGGGCAGCGCAGUGUAGCAAUACAUGGGCGGCGACCGGCAAACGGGUGCGGAACACGUACACAACCUUCCUUUUAGUGGAGCAUAGCCCAGGGAAACUUGGAUUAAUACUCCGUAAUAUAAUGAGAUGGCAUCAUUUUGUUAUUAUAGAAGCAAUUCGCUAGAAGACGGGUGUGCGGCUGAUUAGAUAGUUGGCGGGGUAACGGCCCACCAAGUCCACGAUCAGUAACUGGUGUGAGAGCACGACCAGUCACACGGGCACUGAGACACGGGCCCGACUCCUACGGGAGGCAGCAGUAAGGAAUAUUGGUCAAUGGACGCAAGUCUGAACCAGCCAUGCCGCGUGGAGGAUGAAGGCCCUCUGGGUUGUAAACUUCUUUUAUAGGGGACGAAAAAGGGUCUUUCCAGAUCAACUGACGGUACCCUAGGAAUAAGCACCGGCUAACUCCGUGCCAGCAGCCGCGGUAAUACGGAGGGUGCAAGCGUUAUCCGGAUUCACUGGGUUUAAAGGGUGCGUAGGUGGGUUAGUAAGUCAGUGGUGAAAUCUUCGAGCUUAACUCGGAAACUGCCAUUGAUACUAUUAGUCUUGAAUAUUGUGGAGGUUAGCGGAAUAUGUCAUGUAGCGGUGAAAUGCUUAGAUAUGACAUAGAACACCAAUUGCGAAAGGCAGCUGGCUACACAUAUAUUGACACUGAGGCACGAAAGCGUGGGGAUCAAACAGGAUUAGAUACCCUGGUAGUCCACGCCCUAAACUAUGGAUACUCGACAUACGCGAUACACUGUGUGUGUCUG
rnacentral:rRNA from 1 species